rnacentral:rRNA from 1 species
GCUUGCUGGAUGCUGACGAGCGGCGGACGGGUGAGUAAUGCAUAGGAAUCUGCCCGAUAGUGGGGGAUAACCUGGGGAAACCCAGGCUAAUACCGCAUACGUCCUACGGGAGAAAGGGGGCUCCGGCUCCCGCUAUGGGAUGAGCCUAUGUCGGAUUAGCUAGUUGGUGAGGUAACGGCUCACCAAGGCCACGAUCCGUAGCUGGUCUGAGAGGAUGAUCAGCCACAUCGGGACUGAGACACGGCCCGAACUCCUACGGGAGGCAGCAGUGGGGAAUAUUGGACAAUGGGGGAAACCCUGAUCCAGCCAUGCCGCGUGUGUGAAGAAGGCCCUCGGGUUGUAAAGCACUUUCAGCGAGGAAGAACGCCUAGCGGUUAAUACCCGCUAGGAAAGACAUCACUCGCAGAAGAAGCACCGGCUAACUCCGUGCCAGCAGCCGCGGUAAUACGGAGGGUGCAAGCGUUAAUCGGAAUUACUGGGCGUAAAGCGCGCGUAGGUGGCUUGAUAAGCCGGUUGUGAAAGCCCCGGGCUCAACCUGGGAACGGCAUCCGGAACUGUCAAGCUAGAGUGCAGGAGAGGAAGGUAGAAUUCCCGGUGUAGCGGUGAAAUGCGUAGAGAUCGGGAGGAAUACCAGUGGCGAAGGCGGCCUUCUGGACUGACACUGACACUGAGGUGCGAAAGCGUGGGUAGCAAACAGGAUUAGAUACCCUGGUAGUCCACGCCGUAAA